GAUUUUAUUUUUUUCUGGGCUGGCUUCUGUGUAAUUUGUUGGGGCUUUUUGUCCAAUACCCCUUCUCGGUUAGGGUUUACUCCGUUUUCUCCUUCUUGACCGCUCAAGAACAACCAUGUCGAUUAUGUCUUCCAAAUCGACCUUCCAUCAUCUUAACCGGUUUUUCAUCUUAAAACCCUCCAUUACUCUCUCACAAACGAUCUGUAUUCAAUGCGAUUUCUGGAUCUGCAAGGCGGUGGAGGUUUUCCUCCUUCGAUAAUCAUCCUCUCAUUCUUUAAAGCUAACCAGUAAAUUAAUUCUGUGAAAUAUGGUUAAUGUUUCGGUCUUCCUCUCCGAUUUCCAGACUAACCACUCCUUCUUCAGUGUUCAAGUUUGUUUGCUUCGUUUUUGUGAGGCUAUGAAUGUCGGCCAGGGUGGAGUGCUCCUACAGUCCUACUAAACUCUCAGACGUUUCCACCGUCUUCAAGCGGUAGUACCAACAAAGUGUCUUCUACCAAGUCAGAAGAGGGGACAUACAUAUGCCUCAGUUAUGGUAAAUAUGUCCAAGGAACCAUUCCCAUGAUGAGGACAAAGGAAGUUGAUGUCUUAGAGCAAGUUCAGUCAAAAGAUACUGCAAGAAGAAGCAUACAACUGUCCCGUUCCCUAAAUCUGCAGAACCUAAUGAGAGGCAUCAAAACUAUCUUCAACGAUGAGAGAAGACCACAGAACGUAUAAUGGUUAACUUGAAUAUUGACAGGAGUGUGACAACUGUUCGCGUGAGUGUUAUCCAACUUGAAUCUGCACUCUGUUUUAUCAUGUGUUUGUUAUACAUGGUUUGUGAUGCCAUUGAAGUAAAGGGAAGGAACAUUAUGGUAGCAUCUUCAACUGUCACUACUGAAUUGUCGUCACAGAUAAGUCUUAAGAAGAUUACAAAAUCUAUUGUUGUGUUCAGUGCUAUAUUGAUUGGCUGUUAAUGUUUCUGAUAUUAUUUUUUAGGUGUGGUGCAAAGACAGCAGAGGUGACGAGCAGACAAACACAGAGCUUGGAGCAGCAGGGCAUGCUCUUAGAACGGCGGGGACAGUUUUCAAGAUCAGACAAUCUCUCCCGAAGAGUGUGUAGUAAAGCCAUCGUUGAUGUCUAAAACCGCAACAAAAACGGCAGCUAAAUGAAAAAAGGGGAAAAAAGUUUUUAAUCAAUAGAGAAAAAGAGUUAUAAUUUGAUGUUAUGCUGUUUGUACAUCGGUUUCAUUGUCUUGAUGAAAAAGCAAUACCAAAUUAAAAAAAAAUAGGGUUUUGGUUAUUGUUGUUUGGCAUGUGUUUUGCCUUCUAAACGUUUUUCCAGAUCUUCAACUUAUACUCUGCGUAUCUGUAGUUGUAUAACAAAUUUUAGUGAAA